CGACCUGAGCUCAGGCAAGACUACCCGCUGAACUUAAGCAUAUCAAUAAGCGGAGGAAAAGAAACUAACUAGGAUGCCCUUAGUAACGGCGAGCGAA
rnacentral:rRNA from 1 species